UAGAGGCCUACCAUGGUGGUAACGGGUAACGGGGUGUUAGGGCACGACACCGGCGAGGGAGCCUGAGAAACGGCUACCACAUCCAAGGAUGGCAGCAGGCGCGCAAAUUACCCAAUCCCGACACGGGGAGGUAGUGACAAUAAAUAACAAUACGGGGUUCUUUCGGAUCUCGUAAUUGGAAUGAGUACAAUUUAAAUCUCUUAACGAGGAACAAUUGGAGGGCAAGUCUGGUGCCAGCAGCUGCGGUAAUUCCAGCUCCAAUAGCGUAUAUUAAAGUUGUUGCAGUUAAAAAGCUCGUAGUUGAAUUUCGGGGUUAGUAGGUUGGUCAUGCCUCUGGUAUGUACUGGUCUCACUGAUUCCUCCUUCCUGAUGAACCGUAAUGCCAUUAAUUUGGUGUUGCGGGGAAUUUGGACUGUUACUUCGAAAAAAUUAGAGUGUUUAAAGCAAGCUAACGCUUGAAUACAUUAGCAUGGAAUAAUGAAAUAGGACGUUCGAUCCUAUUUUGUUGGUUUCUAGGAUUGACGUAAUGAUUAAUAGGGAUAGUUGGGGGCAUUAGUAUUCAAUUGUCAGAGGUGAAAUUCUUGGAUUUAUUGAAGACUAACUACUGCGAAAGCAUUUGCCAAGGAUGUUUUCAUUAAUCAAGAACGAAAGUUAGGGGAUCGAAGACGAUCAGAUACCGUCGUAGUCUUAACCAUAAACUAUGCCGACUAGGGAUCG
rnacentral:rRNA from 1 species